GCUUAGCCCUAAAUCUAAAUGCUUACCUUACUUAAGCAUUCGCCCGAGAACUACGAGCACAAACGCUUAAAACUCUAAGGACUUGGCGGUGCCCUAAACCCACCUAGAGGAGCCUGUUCUAUAAUCGAUACUCCACGAUACACCCAACCACCUCUUGCCCACACAGCCUAUAUACCGCCGUCGCCAGCCCGCCUAAUGAAAGGACAACAGCGAGCACAAUAGCCCCCCGCUAAUAAGACAGGUCAAGGUAUAGCCUAUGAGAUGGAAGAAAUGGGCUACAUUUUCUAACUUUAGAACAAUUAUCCACCCAACGGAAGAGGAAAUGAAACACCCUCAGAAGGCGGAUUUAGCAGUAAACUAGAAUAAGAAAGUCUAAUUUAAACUGGCUCUAGGGC
rnacentral:rRNA from 1 species